GAGUGAAGCGGCAACAGCUCAAAUUUGAAAUCUGGCCCCCGGGCCCGAGUUGUACUUUGGAGAAGGUGCUUCGGGUGCGACGGCGUUCCAAGUCCCCUGGAACAGGGCGUCACAGAGGGUGAGAGUCCCGUCCGGAUCGUCUGUCCAGCCCGUGUGAAGCCCUUUCGACGAGUCGAGUUGUUUGGGAAUGCAGCUCAAAAUGGGUGGUAAAUUUCAUCUAAAGCUAAAUAUCUGCCGGAGACCGAUAGCGCACAAGUAGAGUGAUCGAAAGAUGAAAAGCACUUUGAAAAGAGAGUCAAACAGUACGUGAAAUUGUUGAAAGGGAAGGGCUUGCAGCCAGACUCGCACGCGGGGGCUCCGCCGCUCUUCGGGGCGGUUCACUCCCCCGCGAUCGGGCCAGCAUCGGUUUCGGCGGUCGGACAAAGGCUCUGGGAACGUAGCUCUCCUCGGAGAGUGUUAUAGCCCGGGGUGCAAUGCGGCCAGCCGGGACCGAGGACCGCGCUUCGGCUUGGAUGCUGGCGUAAUGGCUGCCAGCCGCCCGUCUUGAAACACGGACCGAGGAGUCGACCAAUCAUGCGAGUCUGUGGGUGUCAAACCCCCGGGCGCAAUGAAAGUGAACGCAGGUGGGAGCCUUCGGGUGCACCAUCGACCGAUCUUGAUGUCUUCGGAUGGAUUUGAGUACGAGCACGGUUGGUCGGACCCGAAAGAUGGUGAACUAUGCGCGGAUAGGUACGUUUGCAUUGUUACUUGAUUACCCUCCAGGACAUCUCACUAACAAUCAUUACAGGGUGAAGCCAGAGGAAACUCUGGUGGAGGCUCGCAGCGGUUCUGACGUGCAAAUCGAUCGUCAAAUCUACGCAUAGGGGCGAAAGACUAAUCGAAUCAUCUAGGUACUGCCUCUCCCGCUCCACU
rnacentral:rRNA from 1 species